ACGGGAGGCAGCAGUGGGGAAUAUUGCGCAAUGGACGAAAGUCUGACGCAGCGACGCCGCGUGUGGGAUGACGGUCUUCGGAUUGUAAACCACUGUCGGGAGGGACGAAUACGCCGCAAGGCGGGUGACGGUACCUCCAAAGGAAGCACCGGCUAACUCCGUGCCAGCAGCCGCGGUAAUACGGAGGGUGCGAGCGUUGUCCGGAAUCACUGGGCGUAAAGGGCGCGUAGGCGGCCUGAUAAGUAGGGGGUGAAAUCCUGCGGCUUAACCGCAGGGCUGCCUUCUAAACUGUCAGGCUCGAGCACAGUAGAGGCAGGUGGAAUUCCCGGUGUAGCGGUGGAAUGCGUAGAGAUCGGGAAGAACAUCAGUGGCGAAGGCGGCCUGCUGGGCUGUUGCUGACGCUGAGGCGCGACAGCGUGGGGAGCAAACAGGAUUAGAUACCCUGGUA
rnacentral:rRNA from 1 species